GUGCCAGCAGCCGCGGUAAUACGUAGGGGGCAAGCGUUGUCCGGAUUUAUUGGCCGUAAAGAGCUCGUAGGUGGUUCGGUAAGUCGGAUGUGAAAUCUCCAGGCUCAACCUGGAGGGGUCAUUCGAUACUGCCGUGACUAGAGUUCGGUAGGGGAGUGUGGAAUUCCUGGCGGAGCGGUGAAAUGCGCAGAUAUCAGGAGGAACACCCGUAGCGAAGGCGGCACUCUGGGCCGAUACUGACACUGAGGAGCGAAAGCGUGGGGAGCGAACAGGAUUAGAUACCCCUGUAGUCA
rnacentral:rRNA from 1 species